rnacentral:rRNA from 1 species
UGCCAAUGGCACUGCCCGGUAGCUAAAUGCGGAAGAGAUAAGUGCUGAAAGCAUCUAAGCACGAAACUUGCCCCGAGAUGAGUUCUCCCUGACCCUUUAAGGGUCCUGAAGGAACGUUGAAGACGACGACGUUGAUAGGCCGGGUGUGUAAGCGCAGCGAUGCGUUGAGCUAACCGGUACUAAUGAACCGUGAGGCUUAACCUUACAACGCCGAAGCUGUU